CGGGUGAGUAACGCGUGGGUAACCUGCCUCAUACAGGGGAAUAACAGUUUGAAAAGACUGCUAAUGCCGCAUAAGCGCACAGGGCCGCAUGGCCCGGUGUGAAAAACUCCGGUGGUAUGAGAUGGACCCGCGUCUGAUUAGCUAGUUGGUGAGGUAACGGCCCACCAAGGCGACGAUCAGUAGCCGACCUGAGAGGGUGACCGGCCACAUUGGGACUGAGACACGGCCCAA
rnacentral:rRNA from 1 species